rnacentral:rRNA from 1 species
CUGCAGUCUGCAACUCGACUGCACGAAGCUGGAAUCGCUAGUAAUCGCGAAUCAGAAUGUCGCGGUGAAUACGUUCCCGGGUCUUGUACACACCGCCCGUCACACCAUGGGAGUUGGUAAUGCCCGAAGUCAGUGACCCAACCGCAAGGAGGGAGCUGCCGAAGGCAGGAUCGAUAACUGGGGUGAAGUCGUAACAAGGUAGCCGUAUCGGAAGGUGCGGCUGGAUCACCUCCUUUCUAAGGAA